rnacentral:RNase_P_RNA from 1 species
UGAGCAGCACGGAUGGUCGCGGCGAAAGCUGAGGAAAGUCCGGGCUUCGAAGGGCAGGGUGCCGGAUAACGUCCGGCGGAGGUGACUCCCGGGAAAGUGCAACAGAAAGCAAACCGCCUCGCCAGCGUUCGCGCUGACGGGGUAAGGGUGAAAGGGCAGUGUAAGAGACUACCGCGUUUC